GCUUGGAUAGCUCAAAGGUAGAGCACUUGUCUGGCAAACAGGAGAUCUGGUGUUAAAUUUCCGGUCUGGUG
rnacentral:tRNA from 1 species